rnacentral:rRNA from 1 species
UGAAGCUUCGGCAGAUUUAGCUGGUUUCUAGUGGCGGACGGGUGAGUAACGCGUGGGUAACCUGCCUUAUACAGGGGGAUAACAGUCAGAAAUGGCUGCUAAUACCGCAUAAGCGCACAGAGCUGCAUGGCUCAGUGUGAAAAACUCCGGUGGUAUAAGAUGGACCCGCGUUGGAUUAGCUGGUUGGUGGGGUAACGGCCCACCAAGGCGACGAUCCAUAGCCGGCCUGAGAGGGUGAACGGCCACAUUGGGACUGAGACACGGCCCAGACUCCUACGGGAGGCAGCAGUGGGGAAUAUUGCACAAUGGGGGAAACCCUGAUGCAGCGACGCCGCGUGAAGGAAGAAAUAUCUCGGUAUGUAAACUUCUAUCAGCAGGGAAGAUAGUGACGGUACCUGACUAAGAAGCCCCGGCUAACUACGUGCCAGCAGCCGCGGUAAUACGUAGGGGGCAAGCGUUAUCCGGAUUUACUGGGUGUAAAGGGAGCGUAGACGGUGUGGCAAGUCUGAUGUGAAAGGCAUGGGCUCAACCUGUGGACUGCAUUGGAAACUGUCAUACUUGAGUGCCGGAGGGGUAAGCGGAAUUCCUAGUGUAGCGGUGAAAUGCGUAGAUAUUAGGAGGAACAC